GACAAACAGGAAAAGACCUAUUAAUCGAAUACCAAAUGCCCUGAAACAGACUCUUCCUUCUGUGGCAAAUCAAACACUCUACCAAUUGAUGAAAACUUUCUUAAAAUCAGUAGAUUCUACACUGCAAGAUUUCAUAGCCAGGCAACUAUACUCGGGGGAUCAGAUUCCUUCCUAAACCUCCAAUGGAAGGACAACAAGCUUUUCCCCUCAAAAUAGUUCUUGGCCAGGGGAAGAAGAUGGCAAUCUACUGUGCUGAAUUUUCUCCUGCUCCUCUCCUCCUGCUUGAAGGAUCUCAAGGCCAAAGGACAAAUUGCUGGAUUCAGGGUCAAAUGAGAGGAAAUGUUUUCACUGUGCAGGGAUCUUCCAGGCUUUCUUUUCCUGGGUUUGGAGAUACUUUCCACACAUGAAAAUUGUCUCUGAAUAGCAUGUUACUUCCUCCCGAUUUCUCUUAUAAUAAACUCCUGACUCUCUCAACA
rnacentral:lncRNA from 1 species